GCAAGUCGAACGAGAAAGAGCUCUUCGGAGCUCGAGUAAAGUGGCGCACGGGUGAGUAACGCGUAGAUAACCUAUCCUUAUGUCUGGGAUAACCCACCGAAAGGUGGACUAAUACCGGAUAUGCUUGUUUUUCAUAAGCGUAAUAAGUAAAGGUGGCCUCUGAUUUAAGCUACUGCAUGGGGAGGGGUCUGCGUACCAUUAGCUUGUUGGUGGGGUAAUGGCCUACCAAGGCGACGACGGGUAGCUGGUCUGAGAGGAUGAUC
rnacentral:rRNA from 1 species